rnacentral:rRNA from 1 species
GCCUACCAUGGUUUUAACGGGUAACGGGGAAUUAGGGUUCGAUUCCGGAGAGGGAGCCUGAGAAACGGCUACCACAUCCAAGGAGGGCAGCAGGCGCGCAAAUUACCCAAUCCCGAUACGGGGAGGUAGUGACAAUAAAUAACAAUACAGGGCUCUUAUGGGUCUUGUAAUUGGAAUGAGUACAAUUUAAAUCUCUUAACGAGGAACAAUUGGAGGGCAAGUCUGGUGCCAGCAGCCGCGGUAAUUCCAGCUCCAAUAGCGUAUAUUAAAGUUGUUGCAGUUAAAAAGCUCGUAGUUGAAUUUCGGAAUUUUUUUAUCGGUUGAAUCAACAGGUUCGUACUGAUUUUAAGAAUUUCUACCUUCUGGAGAACCUUAAUGUCAUUAAUUUGGUGUUUUGGGAAACCAGGACUGUUACCUUGAAAAAAUUAGAGUGUUUAAAGCAGGCUUAUGUCUGAAUAUAUUAGCAUGGAAUAAUGAAAUAGGACGGCAUGGUUCUAUUUUGUUGGUUUCUAGGAUCACCGUAAUGAUUAAUAGGGAUAGUUGGGGGCAUUAGUAUUCAAUUGUCAGAGGUGAAAUUCUUGGAUUUAUUGAAGACUAACUUCUGCGAAAGCAUUUGCCAAGGAUGUUUUCAUUAAUCAAGAACGAAAGUUAGGGGAUCGAAGACGAUCAGAUACCGUCGUAGUCUUAACCAUAAACUAUGCCGACUAGGAAUCGGACGAAGUUAAUUUUUUAAUGACUCGUUCGGCGCCUUACG